GUCGCCACACUCUCGGGCUCGCUUGGUGCAGGUCGGGAACCGAUCAGUCGGGGUUAGGCCGCCGGAUUCCGCCGCUGCCGACGCCUUAUCCGGUCCGCCCUCCCCCCGCUUUGGCUGGCUUGCUUCCCCACUUGCAUCAAGUGAAUUCGAGAAUACUUGGCGAA
rnacentral:miRNA from 15 species